rnacentral:miRNA from 1 species
AAUCUCAUUGACCGGAAGGAAUCCCUUCUGGUCAAUGAGGUAUAACAACCUCAUUGACCGGAAGGGAUUCCUUCCAGUCGAUGAGGUA